rnacentral:ncRNA from 1 species
UACCUUUUUUGUGUAAGUAUAUCUGGAAUGUGCGUGUGAAUGUGAUCAGAACGUCCAAAAUGUGUGUUGGUCAAAUGUAUAUUACGCAAUAUUAUAACGAAGGUUUUUGGUAUUUCCCAAUGAAUGAAGAACAAAACGAUGUUGUUGGUUUUGCUGACGUUUCGCUAUUUAAUGGUAAUAGUAUUAGUAAACGGUGGAUGGUGGUGCAUGGCCGUUCUUAGUUGGUGGAUCGAUUUGUCUGGUUAAUUCCGAUAACGAACGAGACUUUAACCUACUAAAUAGUAGAUUGGUCCUCUGUACUCGUUCAGGGCGCGGCUUCUAUUGCUUCUUUAUGGAGUAGUAUGGUCGUGAUCCGGCGGGUACGGUGCCAGUUUUUACUUCUUAGAGGGACAGACGACACAUCGAAGUCGUACGAAAUUGAGCAAUAACAGGUCUGUGAUACCCUUAGAUGUCCGGGGCCACACGUGCGCUACAAUGACGGUGCCAGCGAGUUUGGGAACCUGGCCCGAAAGGGUUGGGCAAACUGUUUCAUCACCGUCGUGACUGGGAUCGGGGCUUGCAAUUAUUCCCCGUGAACGAGGAAUUCCUGGUAAGUGCAAGUCAUAAGCUUGCGCUGAUUACGUCCCUGCCCUUUGUACACACCGUCGCUACUACCGAUUGAGUGGUUUAAUGAAGCCGUUGGAUUGGUGUCGUUGCAGUGGCUUUGCCGCUCUACUGAUGCCGAGAAGACGACC